rnacentral:lncRNA from 1 species
GUAUUUGAUGAUUCUCCUGCUCCAUCUCAUCGCCACAGAACAAUUGUGCCACUUUGAUAUGUGCUAUUCACUCUGCUGCCAAGCUAGCUGAGGCGUGCACUGUGCCCUCUUUACGUGGAAGAGAAGGCAAUAUUGUCAUACCACAUGCUGUCAUUCCACUACUGUCAUUCCUCUACUUUUCAUUCUGUGUCCCAGCCUGCUGACCAGCAAUGUUUGCCAGAGAGUUGCAAAAACUGCUGCAUAGCUGUGAUGAGGUGAUAUUCCUAUUAUUAAUCUGAUUAGUAAAUUUUUCCUGUCUUCAUGUUUCUGACAAUAAAUAAAUAAGCAAAUAUCUGGAAUUUCACUGUAGUAAGCACGCUACAGAACAGGCAGUUUUUUAAGGUUUUCUGAAGUUUUAUUAUUAUUAUUAUUAGUAGUAGUAGUAGUGUGAAGAAAGUAUGAGAAUUAAUUCUACUUUUCUGGUAUUAAAGAAGCCAUGGAUCUUUGAAGUAUUUUGUAUUUGUUUAUGUUCACAAUGGUGUUAGAUAUAAAUUUCCAGCACAAUAUUGGUAGUGCUGAAAAAUAGGAUGAGGUUUUGAAGGGAGCAAGGAAUCAUGUAUAUUUAUGGUACAGGAGUAAAAAUAGCUUCAUGGGUGACUGGCACAUCUGUAAUGAGCAAGCUUCAGUGGGGUCUGUCUCCCCAUGGAGCCAGGUGUGAUAGCAGAUCAGAAGCACAGAGAAACUCUUUCCACUGAGCUGACUCCUCUGAUCUGCUGAGAUGGCAUUUGUGAGGAAGGGACUGUGAAGGAUUUAGUAUCCUUAUGUGUGCGGGAUUCUACCCCACGAAGAGAAUCAACAAAACCUAAGAGUGUCUGGAGCCAGACCAGGGGCAAGGUUUGAUUGAUUUGUAGGCAUGGAGUCUAUGUUAUUUCAAGAGAUAUAGCUGUUUCCAGUUUCAGACUCUAAUUCUAGUAAGUACUAUUUUUGGUCAGAUAGAUAGAAUCAGUUAGGUUGUCACUAUUGCUAUUUAACUUGUGAUAACAAUUAAUAAUUUACCAUUUUCUAGACUGCAUUAUUGUGGGAAGAGCUCAGUAAAUAAAAACAGAUAAAACAGUACUUUAAAAACAAUCCCUUCCCUCUCAGUCUGCUAUGGUUAACUGCAAAAGGACUUCCUCUGGUAUUUGCUUCUGGAGAGUAAUAAAGGACAAAGUCAUUUAUAGUAUGAGAGGUUAAUACUUUUCAUUUUACUUCUGUUUCUAUUCAUGCUCUCUCACUAUUCAUAUCUCUCAUAUUCAUGCUCCUACAGUGAAGUGACAAAUAAACAAAUGAGCCCAACAGCCUGUGUCUGUCAGUAAGCAACAGUUGAAUAUAGGUUCCUUUUAACAAAGCCUACUGAUUCCACUGUUGAAAAUAUAUACAAACCUCCAUGAAAAUAAGCUUGUCUAAAUAAAGCUUCACAAAGAGCACUUCAGAGUAUUAAAAUGUUAUAGUUGUCAGCGUUUGAUAUUACUUUGUUCAGCAAAUAAUUUUUUUUUAAUUUAAGGAAAAAUAAGUAAAUUCUAUAGGAACAAUACAAAAAAAGACAUGCAGAAAUGGCUAUCUGGCACAGGGCAAGGUAUAUCCUAAGUCUGAUGAACAGCUUGAUACUAAAGUCUUUAUACAAACAACAUCUCCAGUAAAACAAAUGAGCAAGUCGACCACUGAAUGCUAGCAAGAUAUUAGGCCAGGGUGUUCUGCUUUUCUUUCCUAAUUUUGAAAUUUGGCCUUACAUUUAAACUCUCCUUAACUGGAUGAAAAGUACUUAGGGACUCCAUUAUAAUAUUGGCUUGCAUUGCACACGGUCAUUAAUAACCUCAAGUUAAGAUAGGAAUUAUAACAUAACAUAUGAUUUUAGGAGCUCUCCUGUUGAACCCUACUCAGAUUUGCUAGUAUUCAACCAGAAGUUUCUUUCUGGAUUUUGGCUAUAGUGUGUACUGUGUUCAGUAGCACAAACCUUCUGAGAAAACAGUUUUCCUGAGAAUUGUGUGUAAAGACAGCAGUUCUGCACAUCCGCUACAUCAUUUUCUCUUCUUUUAUCUGUGCUGCUUCAUUGCAAUGAGGAGUGCUUUGUUUCUGUUCUCCCUGGGAUUUGGGGGCAGCCUGGUGUUUCAUCAGCACUCCUGGUGCUCAGGCUUGGAUCCAUCUAUGUGCUUGCAGAACGUGUUGCACCUGAAAGGAAGGCCCCAGCAGAUUUUCUUCUUUUGGGCAGACUACUGCCUGAAAGACUACAGCAGCAUACAACACAGUACCUCAUCUCGCUUUUCAUUUUUUUUCCAUAGCUCCCAGUUCAGUUGCCAAAAGCCAUAUGUCUAAGUAGCAUCUUUAUUGCUUUCAGAAGUACAGUCUGCUGUGAAAACUAUCUCAGGUUUCUAAAGUUUUCAGCAGAAGCUCAUUGGUCUCGUAGAGUGACUGGUGGUCAUCUGCAUCUGUGCAAGUUUACCCCCUUCACAGGUUGGGGGAAUUAGGAGAGGAGGUGAGAACAUUAGAACAGCUUGGACAAGCAGGUGAUUAGAACCAUCAGCCUAAUUAGUUUUUAAUAGCUGGGGAGCGGAGCAGUUUUUGUACCUAUGUGUAGCUGAGAGAAUGUUUGUGGGGAGCAGGAGGGAGCUGGGAAGGUGGAUGUCUGGCUGUAAAAUUAGUUUAGUGUACAGACUUUCUGGAAGUCCGAGGAGAGUGGAUUGCAGCUUGAUUUAGAUGUUUCAAAUGAUGCUGUCAGGGAGCACUACAAGACCAGAGAGCAGGUUUAUGAGCAGGAAGUCUUUAAAUAUUCUACAUGUGUUUUCUUUGUUUCUUGAGAGGGAGAGUGGUGAGGAAGGUGGUUUUCCCUGAAGUAAAGGAAGAGGUUUAAGGGGCUAAGUGCAGCUAGGCUCUCCCUGUUAAAAUGCCUUGUGAAAACGUUAUGCCUUGAGGUCUCCUUUAUAGUACGUGCUGCAUGCAGAAGCUAUUCAUCCAGUAGAGCUUAUGCUGUAGCUUCUGAUCUUGGCUGCUAGGCAUGAAUGGCCAAGCUCCUAGAGGUAAGUGGCUGGCUAAUCCCUGCUGAUUUUAGGGAAGCAGGAGUGUGUGUGUGUGCACACGCUUGGAGUUUGUUCACGUGUAUGAAUCUGUAAUAUUUUCUGUCACCUGUUUCAGAAGUUCUGACACCUGAGGCAGCCUGAGGGUAUUGUCUAGCCUUAAAGCUUUUCCUGUAGUCUGAUAAAGCUUGGAAAGAAGUGCAGUGUGAAAUAUUUCCCAAACUUUUUCAUAAUCUGUUCAGAAUAAUCUCAUGUGGAAGCUUGGAGGAGAGGGGGAGAACUGCAUGCCUUUUUGUUAUAAUUUAGUUCUUUGUUUGCUUUAGAUCAUGCAAAGGAUAGUGAUGGAGAGCUGGGGAAAGCAAGCAUGGGCAGAGAGAGGGAAUAAAUGCUGAGAUUGUAUCUUUUAUACUCCUGUUUUUAUAGGUAUUUUUAAGUGCUUGCCUCUUAAUCAAAUAGGAGGGUAGGGGUUAACAUCUAACAACUUCUGAGGCUCUUGUCCUUUCUUGUUUGUAAAGGUAGAAAAAAAAAAUGAUCCAAUGCCCUUGUCUUUUAAGGUAUGCAUCUGCUGCCUACCCUGGAAAGGGUUCUUCUGUUUCUUUGUAAUAUUAUGAUACUGUUUCUCUGUGGGAUAUCUUUCUUGGGGAUGUCCUUGAAACAGAAAAACUUCAGCUAUCUUGUUACUCAACUUAUUAUUCAUGGAUUCACCAAUCUUCCUUCUGAAGCAGAAGAAGAUAGUUUUCAUAAAUUCUCAUAAAGCUGAAAUCAACAUUGUGUGCAUUUUCUCUUCUGAAGUUUUUAUCAAAAGGGAUAUUCUGUUGUGGGGUAUAACAGCUCAUUAAAAAUGCUUAUCCUUCUAAGGGUGUCCGUUAGAAAUUAAAUACACUAUACAGUAAUGCUAAUAAUUAAACUUGUAAAAUAACUGUUUUCUGAUAGACCCAUACAAAAGCACAAUUACAGCAGUGGCUGUUUCUCAUAAGCAGGAAUGGCAUGCCAGUUCUAGAAUAAGUAACAAUGUAAAAACCCUAGUGGUUGUAACUGGUCUAGAAAUGUACUAUAUCCUUCAGUGUUAAAAGCUAUACAUUAUUUCUUUUCUUACUAUAAAAAAUAUGCUACAUUGCUGUAUAAAUUUAAUAUGUAUUGUCUUGCUUAUUUUUUUAAAGUAUAAUUUAUCUAUAUGGUUCAGAUAUGAACGACCCUUUAUUGUCAUAUUAUCAUCUUCUUGUUGACCUAGUGUGCUCAUAAGCUAGCAUCCCAUGUCCAGAUAGCCUAUAUGAGUGCGAAUCUCAUGAAUAGGUAGGUUAUCUUAUUAAUUUUUUUAGCACUAAUUGUACAUGUUAAUGAGGGAUGGAUUUAGGGGAGCCCUGUGUCACACUAAAUUCCAACAUAAACUAGGAGUAAAUGAUGUAGAAGCUCAUAGUCUAGUAACUGUGGAUAACAUACAUUAAAAUCACCAUUGGUAUUCUGAUAGCUCUCAUAUUGCUUUGAUUCUUCUGUGCUAUCAAAUGCAGUUUGAUUAUAAGGUCUGUAUAUGAUGCACAAAAUAUGAAUAUAAAAGUCCACGGCAUGGACUUUUUAUCUGUGCUUUCAGAAAGUAUAGUGACAUGAGGAAAGAAAUAUAGGGUUUAAUCAUAAAUACUGCUUUUCUUACAAGACAGGUUAGUAGGUAACUAGUAUAUUUUAUAAUGCUUUAAAAUGUCAAAGUUUCACUUCUGAGUGAGGUGGAGGGAUCCUGAAAGAACACAUUUGCUUCAUUUUCUGUGAGUUAAAAAUAGCUUCCGUAUAACUUGUAUGAAGUCUGGAAUGAAACAUCACAAUUGAGUUUGGG